GACGAACGCUGGCGGCGUGCCUAAUACAUGCAAGUAGAACGCUGAAGAGAGGAGCUUGCUCUUCUUGGAUGAGUUGCGAACGGGUGAGUAACGCGUAGGUAACCUGCCUUGUAGCGGGGGAUAACUAUUGGAAACGAUAGCUAAUACCGCAUAACAAUGGGUGACACAUGUCAUUUAUUUGAAAGGGGCAAUUGCUCCACUACAAGAUGGACCUGCGUUGUAUUAGCUAGUAGGUGAGGUAACGGCUCACCUAGGCGACGAUACAUAGCCGACCUGAGAGGGUGAUCGGCCACACUGGGACUGAGACACGGCCCAGACUCCUACGGGAGGCAGCAGUAGGGAAUCUUCGGCAAUGGGGGCAACCCUGACCGAGCAACGCCGCGUGAGUGAAGAAGGUUUUCGGAUCGUAAAGCUCUGUUGUAAGUCAAGAACGAGUGUGAGAGUGGAAAGUUCACACUGUGACGGUAGCUUACCAGAAAGGGACGGCUAACUACGUGCCAGCCGCCGCCGUAACAC
rnacentral:rRNA from 1 species